CCCCUUGUUAGCUGCCUCUUAAUUCUCUCGUUAUCUCUUUUGAAACAUGCCAGUGGUGGGCAAGGAGAAGGUAACAUGGAUGAAGUUGACGACGAAACCUCUUGAUAAAGAGGGAACUUCAGUAAAGUCAAGAGGGCUCUUUGUAGCCUGGCUCAAGUACAAGACCAAUUGUUCGACGAGAAGUCAAAAGAAACAGUUACGAUCAAAGUGGUUUGUUGCAGUCCUGAAAAGUUGCGGAGAAACUCUGCCAUAAAGGAGGUGGAGCUAUCAAGAAGAUCGAGUAUGGUAUCGAAACCCUAUGGCACCAAAGGCUAAGGCACCUGAAAAGCCUAAGAAGGUGACAAACCUAAAGACGGUGACAACCUAAAGAAGGUGACAAACCUAAAGACGGUGACAAACCUAAAGAAGGUGACAACCUAAAGACAGUGACAAGCGAAAACCAGCUCCAGCUCCAGCAGCUUCGAGUUCUCAAACAAUGAUCUAUAAUUCAGAGCCGGGUCACCCGAUGUAUGGUGGGUCUUACAACGGCUAUUACCAAGAAUAUGGGUAUUACUCGGAGCCGCAGUGGGGUCAGCCGAUGCAUAAUGGAUAUGUUUCAAGAUCCAUUCCUGAUAGCUAUGGAGGUGGAGGUUGGAACGGAGAUGAGAGUGGAUCAUAUUGCACUAUUAUGUGAAGUCGUGAUAUCACACACGUUACCUAUCUCACUAGUUUAUUUAA